rnacentral:rRNA from 1 species
GACGAACCGAGCGAACGUUGUUCGGAAUCACUGGGCUUAAAGGGCGCGUAGGCGGGUGCUCAAGUCCGGGGUGAAAUCCUCCAGCUCAACUGGAGAACUGCCUCGGAUACUGGGCGUCUCGAGUGUGGUAGGGGUAUGCGGAACUAUCGGUGGAGCGGUGAAAUGCGUUGAUAUCGAUAGGAACUCCGGUGGCGAAGGCGGCAUACUGGACCACCACUGACGCUGAUGCGCGAAAGCCAGGGGAGCGAACGGG